GAGUUUAAUCGUGGCUCAGAUUGAACGCUGGCGGCAGGCUUAACACAUGCAAGUCGAGCGGAGAUGAGGUGCUUGCACCUUAUCUUAGCGGCGGACGGGUGAGUAAUGCUUAGGAAUCUGCCUAUUAGUGGGGGACAACAUUCCGAAAGGGAUGCUAAUACCGCAUACGUCCUACGGGAGAAAGCAGGGGAUCUUCGGACCUUGCGCUAAUAGAUGAGCCUAAGUCGGAUUAGCUAGUUGGUGGGGUAAAGGCCUACCAAGGCGACGAUCUGUAGCGGGUCUGAGAGGAUGAUCCGCCACACUGGGACUGAGACACGGCCCAGACUCCUACGGGAGGCAGCAGUGGGGAAUAUUGGACAAUGGGGGAACCCUGAUCCAGCCAUGCCGCGUGUGUGAGGAAGGCCUUAUGGUUGUAAAGCACUUUAAGCGAGGAGGAGGCUACUGAGACUAAUACUCUUGGAUAGUGGACGUUACUCGCAGAAUAAGCACCGGCUAACUCUGUGCCAGCCCG
rnacentral:rRNA from 1 species